rnacentral:other from 2 species
UUCACCCUGCGGUGUUCGAGACUUGUCAUAUAUUCCUUGAACCAUUUGUUUGCACCGGUCGUGGAAAUUUGUUCGGUGGGCGAGAGCGUCGCUAGUCCGAUGAACCCGAAAUUGAACUAACCGUGACCACCUGAGCCUUUUAGGUUCGGGAUGCCGGCAAGACGGCACAGGCGGGGCCUUA